AGAGUUUGAUUAUGGCUCAGGACGAACGCUGGCGGCGUGCUUAACACAUGCAAGUCGAGCGAUGAAACACCUUCGGGUGUGAAUUAGCGGCGAACGGGUGAGGAACACGUGAGAAAUCUGCCUUCAACACUGGGAUAACUCCGGGAAACCGGGCUAAUACCGGAUAUGAAAUCUGCGGGCAUCCGGAUUUGGAAAGUUUUUCGGUUGAAGAUGAUCUCGCGGCCUAUCAGCUUGUUGGUGAGGUAAUGGCUCACCAAGGCGACGACGGGUAGCCGGCCUGAGAGGGCGACCGCCACACUGGGACAGAGACACGGCCCAGACUCCUACGGGAGGCAGCAGUGGGGAAUAUUGGGCAAUGGAGGAAACUCUGACCCAGCGACGCCGCGUGCGGAUGAAGGCCUUCGGGUUGUAACGCUUUCAGCAGGGAAGAAGCGAAAGUGACGGUACCUGCAGAAGAAGCACCGGCUAACUAUGUGCCAGCAGCCGCGMKUACAUAGGGUGCAAGCGUUGUCCGGAAAUUAUUGGGCGUAAAGAGCUCGUAGGUGGUUCGUCACGUCGGAUGUGAAAAUCUGGGGGCUUAACCCAGACCUGCAUUCGAUACGGGCGAGCUGAGUAUGGUAGGGGAGUCUGG
rnacentral:rRNA from 1 species